rnacentral:rRNA from 1 species
AUGCGUAGGUGGUCUGGAGAGGGCGGCUAUCUUCCACUUCUCGUCCCUGGAUCUUGGAGUCAUCAGACCGGCGAAGCGGUGCAGUUAGAUCUUGUGAUGGAGCGAGAGCGACAGACAAAUCCGGCCGAGUUCUUGAUGCAGCCCUUAAGCAGCAGAACUCUGCUAGAGGAGGUCAACAAAAACAACGGCCACAUGAGUCCUCUUCAUUACCCUGUGACGCCGCUGCCGGCUGUUGAGCUUCCCACCACGGCGGCGUUGGGUGCAGAUGUCCAGAUGUGUGCUGCUGAAUCUGCUCAAGCGGCAGGAACUGCAGACAAGGCUAGGCUUGAGCAACUCCAUAGAGCAAAUAUACCCGAAAACUCCUGGCUGGACUAA